CGGCUGCCGGUCGCCGUACACGAAGGCCAUCAACAGUCAACUCCCUCUCAAUCUUUCGAUCGAACACCGAGGGCUCAAGGCAUAACCAAAACAACAACGACUACAAAUAGAGGGUUGACUUGGAUCUACGCUUUGGGUUAGUGCAAUUGCUCAAAACACUUGAUUUAAUUUUUCUCAUAUUAUUAUUUCAUCAACAAUUGAUGGAUCUCUUCUUCGAUGAGUUUCAACAUCUUCAAAUCCAACUGUAUAAAUAAAAUCAGCCCCUCACAACUUUGCUGACGACAAAGCUAUCGGAAAUGGUGGAUUUGGGAAGCUGUACAGAGGACAAAUCUCUCAUUCUAAGGGCCGAAGCAUGGUUGCUUUUAAGCGUCUAGAUAGUAGAUAUGGUCAAGGAAACUCCAAGUUCCGGAAGGAGAUCAUGAUGCUUUCCCGUUACACACAUGAAAAUCUCGCAUCUCUUUUGGGAUUUUGUGAUGAGGGUGGUGAGAAGAUUCUUGUGUACGAGCAUGCAUCCCGUGGAAGCCUCGAUCGUCAAUUUAAGUGAUAGUCCUCUCACAUGGACGCAACGUCUCAAAAUAUGCCUUGCGGUACUAAGCUACCUUCAUGAUCCAAAUGGGAUGCAACAAAGAGUGCUUCACCGUGAUAUAAAAAGCUCCAACAUCUUACUCGAUGAGAAUUGGAAUGCUAAAGUUUCUGAUUUUGGGUUGUCGAAAAUAGGACCUGCUAAUGAGCAACACACGGCUGAUGUCUCUGAUGUUGUAGGUACCCUUGGGUACCUCCACCCCUUGUAUUUGGAGAUGGGCGUGCUAACAAAAGAGUCGGACGUAUACUCUUUAGGUGUGGUCUUAUUUGAAGUAUUGUGUGGCAGAUUAUGCUUCGAAUAUAGCAAUGGUCAAUAUCAAAUUUUAGUGCCUUUGUGGAAACAAAACUAUGAACAAAAUAAAUUAGAAGAGAUUAUCUUUCAAGAUCUGAUGCAACAAAUGGAUACGAGUUCUUUGGAAACAUUUUCAGACAUUGCAUAUCAGUGCUUGCAGAAAUCUCGUGAACAACGAUCAAUGAUGACUCAUAUUGUGGAGAAACUUGAGAUUGCACUUCAAUUUCAAGAAAUGUACAAAGUGAUAGAAUUAUCAAUGGAAUAUAGUGCAAUAAUCAAGACUGCAGUAACUCCUCUGAGCUUUAGAUCCGAAGAGGAACUAAAGAGGCUUUUCUCCAAAGGGAUCCUCGUUAACGGUAGAAAAACGUUAUUUAACUGCCAGUGGUUUUCAAGAAAUAAGAAUGGUGAAGUAGGUGAAUAUAUGCCUGGAAAGAAUUCAAGAUUUGUACAAGUUAACUAUCAAACAUAUCGUGGGAGAUUCAUAGCACAUGCGAGAACUCGAUUCUUGUCGCCGGGAAUCAUGUACACAGUCAAUCUUGUGUUCAAGUGUUCACCAUUGCAAAUCUCAAGGGAUUCCACAUUUAUCAAACUCAAGUACCAAUUGGGAGAGGAGACGGAAUCUUUAAUUUCGUACCUUGCUUAUCCGAGAGAAAAUGGAUGGUUGGCGGUUGAAUUGUAUCAGUUUACAAGCGGUAGUACACAUAUAGACCUUAAUAUUCGGUUUGAGAGCCUAAUGUAUGAUGCUGAUCCCAUACAUCCAAACAUCAUAAUAGAAGGCAUCGAGUUUCGGCCCCUGGAGAAAGUGGAACAUGAUGUGUUAAAGGAUGAGAAGGUGCUAUGAACGUUGUUCUGCUAAUUCAAGAAGGAUAAUGAAAUUGCUAUAGAAGUACUUACACGUUUAUUGAUUGACAGUGGUUUUCUCUUGCAAAAAAUGGCAAGAAAUGUGUUACGCUUCCGGCAAGAAAGACUUUGGUAAAAUCCGACUGGGAUUGGAAACAUCUACCCGAAUCAAGAAAACUUCAACAUAUCCUCAUGUUAGAAUUAUUGGCAAAAUCAGAUCCCAAAUACCGUCUCCUCAAUCAACUUAUGCAUGUUAGCUUAUCUACAAACUAACUGAAAACCACACCGACUUUGUCCUUCCUCUGCGAGUGGUAUGGUAGAUAAAAGAAUCCAUUCAAGUGGUCUUGGUCAUUGGCAUGUCUAUUUACUUGGUCCUCAAACCCGAGUUAUCAAUCCAAAGGAUGGUCAAAACACCCACAAUCCACCGGAUAUAUCCAAAGUCAAAGGCCUUCUGACACAACUGAGGAACGAUGGUUGGAUGGAAGUUGUAGUAUGGAAAUUUAGUACAGGUACUUUCAUUUGUUUACCAGUACCAGUGAUACUUUCCUGUUUGAUGGGCUUAUUGUUUAAGCCCUUAUAGAAUCUCCUUUAUGAUUGAGCAUAAAUUGAUUGAAACACAGUAAGUUUGUUUCCAUUGUAUCUUUAGUGAUGAAGUAAAUUCGAACUCAACUCCCCCAUAAUUCUAUUUUUGACACUACUUUUGUCAUCUCGCUAUUCGGAAUACAAACCAUAAGUUUACCUCUGGCAUGGUA